CCCUCCUCCUCACACAGCAACGACGUCCGACCUCCUCCUGACGGCGAACUACCACCACACUAUCUCUCUGUCAUUCUCUCUAUGUCCAUAGUUCUUAAUCCACCAAACCACAGAUCGGGUAGAUCAAAGGAUUAUCUGGGAAGCCCUUUUCUGCAAACCUUGAUCAAUUUCUCAAUCUUCGGUCACACCUCCGAUCAUAAGAGGUAAAUUCUAUGUCUUCUUAACCUCCUCCUUCAUCUAUUUCCAUUGAACUUUUGGUGUUGAUCGUGUUUUAACGAAAUCCCAAUUUCUGCAAAUUCCUCCUCCCUGACGUCAUGUUAUUCCGGCGAAGCCAGAGGUUCUAGUGUACGACUCUGAUGUCUAUAACGACUUGAAGACUUCGGUGAGGCAUAGCUGCUUCUGUUUAUACGGGUUGAAGGGCUGAGAGUAUCUUAGGAGCAGAAUUCCAAGAUUGGUGAUUUAAGGUAAAGUCGGGGUCUGGGAGUUUGAUUCCAAUUCAGUAAUUGGUUGUGUGAGUCAUAGGGUGUUUGUGCUGGUGGGUUGCUGGAAAGUCAAGAAAGGACUGGAAGGAGUUUGGCGUGAUAAAGUUCAUCUUUUGCUAUUACCAAGGUAAAUUGGAGGCAUAUUACUACGGUUUUGUCCAGUUGGUUAAUUUGGAAUCAUGGAAUUUUCUGUGUAUGUUUCCAAUGGUUUUAUACUUGAGUGAACUCUGUAUGUGAAAACAGAAGAAGAGAUUGUAGGAAUUAUAUAUGAUUCAUGUUCAGUUUGGUCAUAAUUGUGGAA